AACAUUCCCAAAGUACAUGACAAAACUACCAAUCCCAAAUCUUUGGUGAAAUCAAAAUAAUAUGCAUGCAUGCUUUCAAUCCAGAGAUUGCACAACAGAUGUUACACAUUAUGAAUGACCAAUCCAUUAAGCAAAAAUGCACUCAUGAAAAUUAACAGUUCAUACCAAGCAAGUGUUUCACUCAAUCACUCAAGUGUUUAAGGUGACACUCCAAUCUCUAUUAUUCACAAGUCACAUAAAACAAAAUUGUCAUUCAUCUCUAACAAUCAACAUCUUUACAUGCAAAUGCCAUCAAAAGGACUUUUCCAAGGCUUGUAAUGUGGUUGGGCUAACAAGAAAAACUGGUUUUUCUGGAAAACAAAAUCCUUGAGUUAAGAGAGCUAUCAUAAUAUUUAACAAUUAAGCACAACUCUCUUUCUCACCAAUCUCACUUAUUCCCAACUUCUUCCCUUUUCUUUUACAUUGAGCUCACUUUCAUGCUUUUCUUCUUUUCUUUUCUUUUUAUCAUGCAUUUUUCUUUCUCAACAUUUGAGCUCAAUGCUUUACAAUUGCUUUUCAAUUUCCCC
rnacentral:lncRNA from 1 species